AGACGUUGGCGUGCGCUUGUAUCCAGGCUUGUAUCCAGGACCACCCACAGACAUUUUGGGGCAGAUUUUGGGGUACUGUUGCCAGUUCUAUGGGGAGAUACAACAAAGUUUUCAGCAAAGAGAUGGAAGCAGCAUUAGCUAGACUAGAUUCUAUGGAAUGACAAGGAAGACACUUAUGAAGGUAGCUUACGAAUUUGCAGUACAGAAUGGUUUAGGAGAGAAUCGUCUCAAUGAUGAACUAAAGGCUGCAGGUAAGGAUUGGGUUUAUAGAUUUCUUGAAGAUUCUGGUCUUUCACUGCGUACACCAGAGCAAUGUAGCUUGAGAAGAGCCAUGGUUUUUAAUGAAGUUCAAGUAGAACUGUAUUUUGGAAAUCUGAAAACGUGCUUAGAGAGCACAAUUUCCUUCCUCACAGAAUAUUCAACAUGGAUGAGACAGGUGUGUCAACUGUCCCAGACAAACCAGCUAAAAUUUUGGCAAAGAAAGGUAAGAGAUCAGUGAAAAAAAUUAAGUCUGCUGAGAAAGGACAGCUAGUAACAGGGGUAGGUAUUUUGUGUGAACCCAACAGGAAACUUCAUUCCACCUGCAUUAAUUUUCCCCCGUAAAAGGAAGAGACCAGAACUCUAUAAUAAUGCUCCCACAGGUUGUCUUGGUUUAGUAAGUGAGUCGGGGUACAUGGAUUCAGAGUUUUUUCUUGAUUGGUUAGAGCAUUUUGCCAAACACACAAAGCCUUCUGGGGACGACCUUGUCCUGCUCAUUCUGGACAAUCAUGUUUCACAUUGUUCACUGGCAGCAGUAGAAUACUGCAGAAAGAAUAACAUUGUCCUGUUGACAUUGCCACCUCAUGCUAGUCACAUGUUACAACCAUUGGACAAAGCUAUUUUUGCACCAUUUAAAAAGUUUAAUGCAGACGAAAUUGAAAAAUGGAUGUGUAGUCACCCAGGUAGGGCAGUUACACAUAUGUAAGUGUCUGGUCUAUUCAAUGCAUCUUUCAAAAGAGUGGCAACAGUUGGAAUAGCAGAAGCAGCUUUUAGAGCCACUGGUAUUUACCCGUUUAAUCCCGAUAUUAUUUCGGAGGAUGAUUUUCUAUCUGCUGAGCCUACGAAAAUUGAGUUGCCAGUUUCGAAAGGCAUUGACCACUCAUCAGAUUUCAUCGAACCAGUUGAAGAUGGGGAUGUACGAAAUGAGGGGAGACCAAAUGAAGAAUUGGAGGAUAAAAUAACAGGAGAAUAAACAAAGACGCAAGAAAACACAAACGUGUCACAAAUAUAAAUCAUUCCAAUUGCUGGUACUUCUUCAGGACCAACUGUCUCAGUCAUAGCGAUUUAUCCCUUGCACAAAGUUCAAAAGCAAACCAAAAGGAAAAGAAUUGGGCAGAAAUCUGAGAUUUUAACUGCAACAUCUCGCAAAAAUUUGCUCUUAGAAAAAAAGAAA